CAAAGGGUUCUCCUAUGGGGACAGCCGAAGAAGACUUUUCAGUUCUAGAUAGCAAUCUUUUUUUAAAGAACGUAUGGAUAUAACAUUAAUAAGAACUGCGGGGGUAACAAUGUCCAGCGGGCCCAGUGAACAAAGCUGGUUGUCUUGACGUCAAUACAACUAGUUUGCAACCAGGUUGUAAUGGUGUAGUACUGAUAUCGUUUCAACCAGUGUUGCUCGCCUGCUGGGAGGCUACAUUACGUAUUGAUGACAUUAUCUAACCCAUGACGCCACUUCCCUUUAAAACUCCACUGCAUUAAGUUGUAAUGAGAUCAGAUCAGGGACUGUCCAUGUCUCAUAGGUUGUCAGAUGUCUAAUUCCUUAGUCAGGUUAAUGCCUCAUUGCCUUGGUAACCUCUUGAAGUACUGUCAACAAAGUCAGAUAUUUUCUGAAUGAGAAUGAUUGCACCAGAGCAGAAAGACAGCAGAGAACAUAGGGAUGAGCUGUUUUGUCAGUUUAUUUGCUACCUACAGGCUACAGACAGUGAGAGUGUAUGUAAUGAUAGAGCCAGUUGAUCUUUCCUCUGGAUCAGCAUUUCAAAAGGAACUGUGAACUCUGACUUCCAACUGCCACCUUGUGGUAUAAUUGAGCAACACCACACCGUUGCCAAAUACAAAUCAAGCAACAUAUAUGUGCUGUACUAUAGCCUCACAACAUAUAUUGUUUUGAUCAGUUCCUUGUAACAGUUAACUAUGGUAAACUGUUACUCUGUGAUGAGCUUGUUCUUCAAAAGGACUGAUAUAUUUAAUGCUUUAGUGCCAUGUCACCACCACAACACAGACUUGUGUGACUUUGUGAUUCCUUCUCCCUACUGGCUGAUAUCCCAGGAUAUUUUAGAUCCCUCUAAAGUAGUUGGCCUCGGACCAUGUUCUACGCUAACUGCUGAGUAGCAGUGAAACAGCAUGGCAUCAAUGAGCUAACAUGUGUCCCAAAUGGCACCAAAUUCCCUAUGGACCCUGGUCAAAAUUAUUGCAUUAUUUAGGGAAUCGGAUGCCAUUUAGAGGUCCUCCCCUUCCAUCGUCCCCUCCGCCUUCUGCUCCUUGGCAACAGUCAGGUGACCCCGCCGGAGUUCACUGAAGCAGGCGGCUGUGUUGCUCCUCUUGUCUCCCUCACUCACACUCGCUCUGCUGAACAGGGCCAGGGGGACUGUGCUGUGUUGCAUGACUCUGUCUGUCUGGGCUCUGCCGAGAGCUGACAUGUCCACAGAACAGGAGAAGAAUGAGCUCACGCAGACUCCUCUGCUCAAGAUAUGGGUGCCAUGGUUGGGGAUGGAAGGCUGCAAGCUAAGUCGCCGGAGAGGCUCCUCUGUGCCCCAGCUCACCAACUCCCCCACUCUGAUUGUGAUGGUUGGACUGCCUGCCAGGGGGAAGACAUACAUAUCCAAGAAGCUCUCCCGCUACCUCAACUGGAUAGGGGUUCCAACAAAGGUCUUCAACUUGGGCCAGUAUCGCAGGGAAGCAGUCCAGAGCUACAAGAACUUCGAGUUCUUCAGACCGGACAAUGAGGAGGCCAUGCAGAUUCGCAGGGCCUGCGCUACAAAUGCCCUUAAAGAUGUAGUUAUCUACUUCUCAAAGGAACAUGGACAAGUAGCCGUGUUUGAUGCCACCAACACAACACGGGAGAGGAGGAUAUCCAUUGUGAGCUUUUCCAAGGAAAAAGGCUACAAGGUAUUUUUUGUGGAGUCCAUUUGUGAUGAUCCAGACAUCAUUGCACAGAAUAUCACGGAAGUGAAAGUGAGCAGCCCAGACUAUGUGAACUGUGACAAGGAUGAGGCGCAGGCAGACUUCCUGAAACGUAUCGAGUGCUACAAGCAAACCUAUGUGCCUUUGGACGAUGAGAAAGACAGGCAUCUGUCUUACAUCAAGAUCUUCAACGUGGGCUCUAGGUACUUGGUGAACCGUGUGCAAGACCAUAUACAGAGCCGGAUCGUGUACUACCUUAUGAACAUCCACGUCACACCGCGCUCUAUCUUCCUGAGCCGCCACGGGGAGAGCGAGCUGAACCUGCUGGGUCGCAUUGGGGGAGACUCAGCACUCUCUCCCAGGGGUCACAAGUAUGCCACUGCUCUGGGGGGCUUCAUCAAGGGCCAGCAUAUAAAGGAUCUGAAGGUGUGGACCAGCCAUAUGAAGAGGACCAUCCAGACUGCAGAGCAUCUGGGGAUUCCAUACGAACAGUGGAAGGCUCUCAAUGAGAUUGAUGCAGGUGUGUGUGAGGAGUUGACAUAUGAAGAUAUCCAGGAGAACCACCCAGAAGAGUUUGCACUGAGAGACCAGGACAAGUACCGGUACCGUUACCCCAAGGGUGAGGUAGGACCUGUCUUAAUUCACCACACACUGCUUACAAAAUACACACAAAAUAUACAUACACUGUACAUUACUCAGACAAAUUGUGGAGAUCUUAGUACAACACCUAGCAGUCAUAGAACAACACCUAGCGAUCAUAGUACAACACUUAGUCAUCUUAGUACAACACCUAGCGAUCAUAGUACAACACCUAGUCAUCUAAGUACAACACCGAGUCCUCUUAGUAGAACACAUAGUCCUCUUAGUAGAACACCUAGUCCUCUUAGUAAAACACAUAGUCCUCUUAGUAGAACACCUAGUCCUCUUAGUAAAACACCUAGUCCUCUUAGUAGAAUACCUAGUCAUCUUAGUACAACACCUAGUCAUCUUAGAAGAACACCUAGUCCUCUUAGUAGAACACCUAGUCAUCUUAGUAGAACACCUAGUUAUCUUAGUAGAACACCUAGUCAUCUUAGUAGAACACCUAGUCCUCUUAGUAGAACACCUAGUCAUCUUAGUAGAACACCUAGUUAUCUUAGUAGAACACCUAGUCAUCUUAGUAGAACACCUAGUCAUCUUAGUAGAACACCUAGUCCUCUUAGUAGAACACCUAGUUACUGUAUCUUAGUAGAACAUCUAGUCCUCUUAGUAGAGCACAUAGUCCUCUUAGAAGAACACCUAGUCCUCUUAGUAGAACACCUAGUCCUCUUAGAAAAGCACAUAGUACUCCUAGUAGAACACCUAGUCCUCUUAGUAGAACACCUAGUCAUCUUAGUACAACACCUAGUCCUCUUAGUAGAACACCUAGUCAUCUUAGUACAACACCUAGUCUUCUUAGUAGAACACCUAGUUCUCUUAGUACAUCUUAGCUACCCUAGUAGAGGUGGAUCUGAGUGACUGGGAAAGAUAAUUAAAGAUUAUUUUCUUUAUUGUCACAUACACCGGAUAGGUGUAGUGAAAUGUGUGGGUCAGCCAUGGUAGUACGGCGCCCCUGGAACAGAUUAGGGUGAAGUGCUUUGCUCAAGGGCACAUACAACAGAUUUUUGACCUUGUCUGCUCAAGAAUUCAAACGUUUCCAGCUGGAACCAAGCCGAGCUGGUAAGGAAAGAAAGAAAAUAGAGAGCAUGGUGUGGUUCAGGUUGGUGCAAUAGUAUGAAGAAGGUACAUUUCCUGGUGCAAUAGAAUGAAAAAGGUACACUUCAUUUUCCUCUCUCUACCACAGUCGUAUGAAGACCUGGUCCACCGUCUGGAGCCAGUGAUCAUGGAGCUGGAGAGACAGGAGAAUGUGCUGGUCGUGUGUCACCAAGCCGUCAUGCGUUGUCUGCUGGCCUACUUACUAGACAAAACCGCAGAUGAGUUACCAUACCUAAAAUGUCCUCUUCAUACUGUGCUCAAACUUACACCGGUGGCCUAUGGGUGUAGAGUGGAGCACAUUUGCCUAAACAUUGAGGCAGUCAACACGCACAGAGAGAGACCUGGGAAUGUGGACAUAACCAGAAACCCAGAAGAGGCGCUGAAGACUAUUCCUGACCACUUUUGAAUAUGAUUUAGAGGAUAUGGACUCUAGGACCGUACUGAACCAGCAAUAUUAUAUUUUCAAGUUUUAACUUUAUUGCUCGAUCAAUUAUGUCUUAGUACCUUUUCCCGAUUAAACUUGUCAAAAUCAGCAAGUGUCAAAGGGGAAAAAGAUAAGGAAGAAGAUUAGAUGAAUAGAAGAUCAAAAAGGACAAACUCCACUGUCUCCGGAAACAGUGAGGGGGAAAUGGACUUUCUGCCUCCAACAUGGGACGGCUAAAGCCCAGUACUGUAUGAGUGUUGUUGACUGACCUAUAACGUCCAAUAUAUGUGCAUCAGUCUGCUCUGUCUUACCCAAGAGUCUCAUGGUGAAGUGCAGUCGGACAGGCUGUGUGAGAGGUGGUUUGGCAUGGUAUUGUCACUAGAAUGUGAAAGAGGCCAGACAAUUCUAACAUUAGGCUACAGGAUGACGAAAGUAAAACAUCCUCCAUUCUAGUAGAUUAAUAAACACAUCUUCUGUUUCUUAAUGAUACAUGUCUGACUAAGUGUCAACAUUAUGAACAGUUCCCAAACAAACAACAUGUCUACAUUUUACCAGACUCUCUGGUCUUAUAGUUGUGAGUGGGUAGAUUUUAGAUUAUUUUUUUUCCGUACUGGUCCCACGUGGGCAUUGAACCCACAACCCUGGUGUUGCAAGCACCAGAUCUACCAACCGAGCCACACAGGACCUGAUGGAUGUGAAAAACGGUGUGACUUUGCUAAAGGAGUCUCUUGGCUUGGCUAGAUCUGCAACACUACUGAUUACAUAUUUUUAAGAAAACUUGUUGACAAUAAAUACAUUUGUGACAAAGGUAUACAAUACCACUAGUUAAGACAAAGAGUUUAUUGUACUGAAUAAGUGGAACUAGAUUUAUGAAAUAAAUGGUGAAAUUAAAA